rnacentral:rRNA from 1 species
UGUCUGAUUAGCUAGUUGGUAAGGUAAAGGCUUACCAAGGCAACGAUCAGUAGUUGGUCUGAGAGGACGACCAGCCACACUGGGACUGAGACACGGCCCAGACUCCUACGGGAGGCAGCAGUGGGGAAUUUUGGACAAUGGGCGCAANCNUGAUCCAGCAAUGCCGCGUGAGUGAAGAAGGCCUUCGGGUUGUAAAGCUCUUUC